CGUAUGUAGAACAAGUGAUAGCCAAAAUUAUUUGGACGGUGUCGAACGGCGUUCACUGAACUUCGCUAAUAUUUAAUCCCUGCCAGGGGGAACGGCGUUCGCCCAUGUUUGAUUUUGGCAAGGGGGAUGCCGUUCCCCUGGUAAAAAAGGUGGGGGGACGGCGUUCCCCCGCGUUCCCCCUGGAAAACAUCACUGUUUCACAGUUGUUAAGCCACUUUACAAAGGUUGAAAUACUAACUAUAUCCGGUAUAUAGGGGCGCUAUAACCGUAGCCUUCGUCAUCCAGGCCUAAUUUAAUUAUUAACAAUCAAUUAAAUUUAAAAGCAUAAGAAACACCUAGCGCACCACAGGGGGCCCCACUAUGAGUUAUGAUUGAAAUAAUAUUGUAU